rnacentral:rRNA from 1 species
CCCGGGUCUUGUACACACCGCCCGUCACACCACGGGAGCGGGUUCUGCCAGAAGUAGUUAGCCUAACCGCAAGGAGGGCGAUUACCACGGCAGGGUUCGUGACUGGGGUG